rnacentral:rRNA from 1 species
GCGCAAUGGGCGAAAGCCUGACGCAGCAACGCCGCGUGAGGGAUGAAGGCCUUCGGGUUGUAAACCUCUUUUAUCAGGGACGAUAAUGACGGUACCUGAUGAAUAAGCCACGGCUAACUACGUGCCAGCAGCCGCGGUAAUACGUAGGUGGCAAGCGUUGUCCGGAUUUACUGGGCGUAAAGAGCGCGCAGGCGGUCGUUCAAGUCGCGUGUGAAAGCCCCCGGCUCAACUGGGGGAGGGUCACGCGAUACUGAUCGACUCGAAGGCAGGAGAGGGUAGUGGAAUUCCCGGUGUAGUGGUGAAAUGCGUAGAUAUCGGGAGGAACACCAGUGGCGAAGGCGACUACCUGGCCUGUUCUUGACGCUGAGGCGCGAAAGCUAGGGGAGCAAACGGGAUUAGAUACCCCGGUAGUCCUAGCCGUAAACGAUGGACACUAGGUGUUGGUGGUAUCAACCCCGCCAGUGCCGAAGCUAACGCAUUAAGUGUCCCGCCUGGGGAGUACGGCCGCAAGGCUA